CAGGAAAACUCUUCACUACGCGUACAAUUGUCUCCAAAAUAAUGCACCAUGGACACAUUCCCCAAAAAAGUGGGGAUUAGAUUCAACCACAAAAAGAGCCCAGUGGAUCCUUAUCAGGGAACAUGUUAUUAAAUAAAGAUUGAAAGAGUAGUCGGAAGCUUAGUGGUGGUGACGUUGAAAUCAUGCGACGGUGGUGUAGUUCGUUUAUAGCCUAACUUUAGCUCUUUACGUCUUGUAUUGUAUUUAGGCUUCAAAAUUCAUAAAACUUGUGUUCAUUUGUGAAGAUUAUCUUGAUGAACAAAAAAUAGGUUGUAUAUAUCUCAUCAUCAAUCCCUUCCAGUCUGCCUGUGGUCAGUGUCCUCCAGCCUGCAUGUUUAACUUCCUGUCACGUUUGCUUGUGGUCAGUCAGGAAGGAGAAGGAGCAGCAGAGCUAAAGAAAGCCCAAGAGAUCCAGAGGGAGAUGAAGCUGUUCGAUGUACCUUUUGUCACCAAAACAGCAGAAAGACGGAGUACAGCAAAAAAUCAGAGUUUUGGUGAGUCUGUGCCCACUGUAGCCUCAGAUUCCUGUUUUUGAGAGCAGGAGUGAAACCUGAUGUGGUCUCGUAGCUGUCUUCAGUCAUGGACCAACAUGUUGUGCAUUCUGAGAUGCUUUUCUACUCACCACGGCUAUAAAGAGUGGUUAUUUGAAUUACCAUAGACUGCCUUGUCAGCUUAAACCAGCCUGGCCGUUCUCCUCUGAACAUCAACAAGGCGUCUCCGCCCACAGACCUGCCGCUUACUGGAUGAUUGUUGUUUUUCACACCAUUCUGUCUAAACUCUAGAGACUGUAGUGAGUGAAAAUCCCAAGAGAUUUCUGAAAUAUUCAAACUGACACCACUGAGAUUUUUCCCCCAUUCUGAUGUUUGAUGUGGACAUUUACUAAAGCUCUCUCCCUGUAUCUGCACGAAUGUAUGCACUGCUCUGGUGCUACAUGAUUGGCUGAUUAGAUCGGUGCAUGAAAGUGAAGGUGUACAGGUGUUCCUAAAAACUUAUAGUUCCAUCCUUUGCCUUUAUAACUGGCUUCAAGCUCUUUGUUAUCCUCUUUUAAUUAUUGUAAUUAAAAAGUCUGGAAAAUGCAGAAGAAAUUUACACCCAACUGUAGCAAUAUAAUUAAAUAUCUAUCAUUAUAUAUCCAUAGCUGUUUAGCCUGUAAAGCAUAAUCUAAUGCCAUAAUCAUGAAAAAUACUUUUUUUUUUUUAGAAACUGUAAUGACUAUUUUAAACCUUUUCUUCAAGUCAAUAAUUACAAUGGCAAUCAUUUUAUCUCCAUGACACAGGUUUAUUUUUCAUACGUAUGUUUUCAUUUCACCAAAGACCAGGACUUGUUCACUGCGUGAUUGCAGUAAAAUUCCCAUCAUGACUGAAAAAGUCUCUCUCUCUCUCUCUCUCUCUCACACACACACACACACACACACACACACACACACACACAC